GUGCUCGCUUUGAUAGCAUAUAUACUAAAUUUGGAAUGAUACAGAUUAACAUGGCUCCUCUGCAAAGGUAACAUGCAAAUUUGUGAAGCACUCCAUAUUUUU
ensembl:snRNA U6 U6 spliceosomal RNA